rnacentral:rRNA from 1 species
GAAUACGUCGGAAUCUGCCUAUUUGUGGGGGAUAACGUAGGGAAACUUACGCUAAUACCGCAUACGACCUACGGGUGAAAGUGGGGGACCGCAAGGCCUCACGCAGAUAGAUGAGCCGACGUCGGAUUAGCUAGUUGGCGGGGUAAAGGCCCACCAAGGCGACGAUCCGUAGCUGGUCUGAGAGGAUGAUCAGCCACACUGGAACUGAGACACGGUCCAGACUCCUACGGGAGGCAGCAGUGGGGAAUAUUGGACAAUGGGCGCAAGCCUGAUCCAGCCAUGCCGCGUGUGUGAAGAAGGCCUUCGGGUUGUAAAGCACUUUUGUCCGGAAAGAAAAGCUUAGGGUUAAUAACCUUGAGUCAUGACGGUACCGGAAGAAUAAGCACCGGCUAACUUCGUGCCAGCAGCCGCGGUAAUACGAAGGGUGC